rnacentral:rRNA from 1 species
AAGGUGGGUAUGUUAAUAGCAUACUCAUUUGACGUUAGCUGCAGAAGAAGCACCGGCUAACUCCGUGCCAGCAGCCGCGGUAAUACGGAGGGUGCGAGCGUUAAUCGGAAUUACUGGGCGUAAAGCGCAUGCAGGUUGGUUUGUUAAGUCAGAUGUGAAAGCCCGGGGCUCAACCUCGGAAUUGCAUUUGAAAAUUGGCAAACUAGAGUACUGUAGAGGGGGUAGAAUUUCAGGUGUAGCGGUGAAAAUGCGUAGAGAUCUGAAGGAAUACCGGUGGCGAAGGCGGCCCCCUGGACAGAUACUGACACUCAGAUGCGAAAGCGUGGGGAGCAAACAGGAUUAGAUACCCUGGUAG